CGAUGUGUGAGUGAUUUGGUUGAAUCUGUUAGCCUAGGGUUGAUUUGGUGAACUUUACUGGCUAUGUGAUUUUCCCCUUCAGAAGGACACUCACAGCUCCAGUUGUGUCCCUCCUAAAGUCUCAUGCUCAGGCAAAGAGGAGCCUUUCUGGUUGAGGGAUAUUAUUCUUCUGCCCAGGGUAUCCAAGUAACUGGGUUCCUUUUCUUGAAUCUCCAAACAUGCUCUCAAGUCCAAAAAUGAAUAAAUGUCUUUUCUUGAACAUAUUUAUACUGUUAUUAUCUACUAUAAAUAUCCUAAGUGGUUAAGUAUU
rfam:Cricetulus griseus cell line CHO-K1, whole genome shotgun sequence.